GGACCCAGCGCGGGGUCGGUGGAGAAAAGGCCGCCGACGUGGAGACCCAGCGCGGGGUCGGUGGAGAAAAGGCCGCCGACGUGGGGACCCAGCGCGGGGUCGGUGGAGAAAAGGCCGCCGACGUGGAGACCCAGCGCGGGGUCCGUGGAGAAAAGGCCGCCGACGUGGACACCCAGCGCGGGGUCGGUGGAGAAAAGGCCGCCGACGUGGGGACCCAGCGCGGGGUCG
rnacentral:lncRNA from 1 species